rnacentral:rRNA from 1 species
GACGUAGGGCGCGAGCGUUGUCCGGAUUUAUUGGGCGUAAAGAGCUCGUAGGUGGUUUGUCGCGUUGUUCGUGAAAACUCACAGCUUAACUGUGGGCGUGCGGGCGAUACGGGCAGACUGGAGUACUGCAGGGGAGACUGGAAAUUCCUGGUGUAGCGGUGGAAUGCGCAGAUAUCAGGAGGAACACCGGUGGCGAAGGCGGGUCUCUGGGCAGUAACUGACGCUGAGGAGCGAAAGCGUGGGGAGCGAACAGG